AUCGAACGCUGGCGGCAGGCCUAACACAUGCAAGUCGAACGAGUCGCGGACGGGUGAGUAAUGCAUGGGAACCUACCUUAUGGAUGGGGCUAACUACGGGAAACUGUAGUUAAUACCGCUUACCUUAGGCUUAGCCCAAGGGGGAUUAGGUAGUUGGUGGGGUAAAGGCUCACCAAGCCGACGAGCCCUAGCUGGUCUGAGAGGAUGAUCAGCCACACUGGGACUGAGACACGGUCCAGACUCCUACGGGAGGCAGCAGUAGGGAAUAGUGCACAAUGGGCGCAAGCCUGAUGCAGCCAUGCCGCGUGUGUGAAGAAGGCCUUCGGGUUGUAAAGCACUUUUAGCGAGGAGGCGGUACUCGAAGAAGAAGCACCGGCUAACUACGUGCCAGCAGCCGCGGUAAUUC
rnacentral:rRNA from 1 species